rnacentral:lncRNA from 1 species
CUUGCAAAUACUUCCUAAAAUGUGACCAGCUUAUACAAAUGCACACGCUGGCCUUGAUUCCCCAAAGUCGAUCCCAAAGCACACAUCAGGUUUUAAACAUGCUCCUAUAGCCUUUUCAGAUAUUUAGUGAAAAUGAGCAUUAGGAUGCAUGAUAUUUUAAUAGUAGUGCUAGUACAGUAAUGUUGUAGACAAAAUAAUUAUCUAAAAUACUGAAAAUUUGAAAUUAAUAUUUUAAAAAUCAGUAAGUCAACUGAUUUCUUAUCCAGGAAAUGGAGGGCAGGAUUUAGAUAAGGUAAGAAGAGAGAAGAGAUUUCUUUAAUCUGAACCUUGGACAAGCUACUCAGAGUAUCGCUCUGACUGCCAAAAAAAAAAAAAAAAAAAAAAGGAAAGAAAAAAGAGCAAAAGAAAAAAGAGUUUCCAGAUAAGACAUACUUACAUACUUCCUAAUGUAUUAUUGGACUUGAGAAAGAAUUUUGCACAUCUCCAAAGGUUUCUUUCCCCUCACCUCAAAACCUAAAAGCUUAAAAGUGUGAGCAGAAAGUGGAGAUGUUAAACAGUAAACGUGGGAAUGGCGAAAUUGAAUGGGAUGAGCUGUGUUGCAAGAAUGCUAUUGGAAGGAUAGCAGUCAUAUGCUCUGUGAGACUUCUCAUACACCUCACCUUAUUAAAAGAACAGGAAUAAGUCACAACCAUAUUUAUAGACCCACUUUUUUGGUCUUCUUUGAUGUCUUUAGGUGACUUAGAUUAGGUAGUCAAGUACUUGUAUACUGUCAGAUUUUUCAGAGAGAAAUCCAUCCUUGCUUAAAAGCUAGUGUUUUGUGUAGUCCUCCAUUAAGGAAAUUCUGCAAAUCAGCCUUCAAUAUCCUCAUAAAAUAUUAUCUCUGAUAUCUCUGUGUCUGAGAAAUUGUUUUAAUGCAGAAACAUAGACUGUGGCCUCUGAGUCUUUAAAUCACUUAUGUGUUUACUUAUGUAUUUUUACUUUUACUUAUGGGUUUGUUACCUGAAAAUUCUGAACAUAUUUAAAAGUAGAGAGUGAUAGGAACUUGUAUGCAAUUAUACUUACCUUCAACAGCUAUCAUCUUAUGAUUUUUUUGCGGGGAAUUCUUUUUUAUUGAAGUGUAGUUGAUUUACAAUGUUGUAUUAUAUUCAGGUGCACAGCAAAGCGAUUCAGUUAUAUAUAUGUGUGUGUGCAUAUAUGUAUAUAUAUGUUUAUACAUGUAUAUAUGUUUUCAGAUUCUUUUUAUUAUGGGUUAGUAUAAGAUGUUGAGUAGAGCUCCAUGUGUUGUAAAGUAGGGUCUUGUUGGUUAUCUACUUAAUACAUUGCAGUAUGUGUAUCUUAAUCCCAAAUUAGUAAUUUAUCCCUCCCUACCACUUUCUCCUUUGGUAACCAUAAGUUUGUUUACUAUGUCUGUGAGUUCAUUUGUAUUUUGUAAAUAAAUCCAUUUGUAUCAUAUUUUUUCAGAUUCUACAUAUAAGCAAUAUCAUGAUAUUUGUCCUUCUCUGUCUGGCUUAUUUCACUUAGUGGGGUAAUCUCUAGGUUUGUCCAUGUUGCUGCAAAUGGAAUUAUUUCAUUCUUUUUUAUGGCUAAGUAAUAUUCUAUUGUGGAUAUAUGUGCCACAUCUGCAUCCAUUCAUCUGUCGAUGGACAUAUAGGUUGCUUCCGUGUCUUGGAUAUCGUUAAGUAGUGCUGCUGUGAACAUUUGGGUGCAUGUGUCUUUUGGAAUUAUAAUUUUCUUGGAAUAUAUACCCAGGAGUGGAAAUGCUGAAUUGUAUGGUAACUCUACUUUUAGUUUUUAAAGGAAUAUCUGUACUGUUCUCCAUAGUAACUGCACCAAUUUACAUUCCCAUCAACAGUGUAGUAAGUUCCUUUUUCUCCAUACCCUCUCCAGAAUUUAUUAUUUAGACUUAUUAAUGAUGGCCAUUCUGACUGGUUUGGCAUGAUACCUCAUUGUCAUUUCGAUUUGCAUUUCCCUAAUAAUUAGCAGUGUUGAGCAUAAGACUUUUUUAAUUGAAGAAAUGAACCACAUCUGAAAAAAUAAACCAAACCAUACCUAGAAAGUCAGUAUUUCUUUAUCGUUAUCAAAUAUGUACAAUCAGUAUUCAAGUUUUCUCAAUUGUCUCAAAAUUUUUUAUAAUUUUUUUACUUUUUUGAAAUAGAAUACAUAUGAUUCAUACAUUGCAAUUCAUGAUAUUUCUCUUCUCUUUUAAUCUAUGUUUCACCUCUGUUUAUUUUUCCUUAUUUGUGGAAAAAGCUGGAUUGUGCUGGUAGAGCUUUCCAUAGUUUGUAUUUGCUCAUGCAUUCCUGUAGAGUUGUUUAAGAAGCUCCUCUGUACCAUGUCUUUCCUAUUCACUGGUGAUUAAGACUCUGAACUUGCUAGAUUCAUUUGGAGAAGGCUGGGCAGGACUACUGGUUCUCUCUCUAUCUGAGAUGUUAGCAGGUAUUGAUCAUUGGUUAGCUCCUUUUAUUCCAUAAGGAAUACCCAGCCUUGGAAAGUUUCCUCACACAUUGGCCAAGAUCAGUACUCUGCUAAAUUCCUGAGUGGGACUCUCUGCAGAUCUCAGGAGACCUUUAUCUGUGCAGCAGCCCUGUUCACAUGCUCUGACUUGUGAACUGUAACCACCUUGUUCUCCCAUGCCUUCAGUUCUGCUUCUGCAACUUGGGGAAUUUGUGUUCCUUGAGUUAUCUGCCCUGUGCCACUGCCAAGAAACCCUUAAGACAGUAAGCAGGCAAUCAUGAUUCACCUCCUUGGUUUCUUAUCUCUCGGAGAUCACUGUUCUACAUUGCCUGAUGUCCUAUGUCUUAAAAAUCAUUAUUUUGUAUAUUUUUCCAGAGUUUGGUUGUUGCUGUUUUGAAAAAGAGGGUACAUCUAACCCCUCUCAGUCUAUCUUGGUUGGAUGGGAAGUCUCUCAAAUUGUUUCAUUAAAAAAGUUUUUGGAGUUCCCGUCGUGGCUCAGUGGUUAACGAAUCCAACUAGGAACCAUGAGGUUGUGGGUUCGAUCCCUGGCCUUGCUCAGUGGGUUAGGGAUCCGGCGUUGCUGUGAGCUGUGGUGUACGUUGCAGACGUGGCUCGGAUCCAGCGUUGCUGUGGUUCUGGCGUAGACCGGAGGCUACAGCUCCGAUGAGACCCCUAGCCUGGGAACCUCCAUAUGCCAUGGGAGCGGCCCAAGAAAUGGC